GUCCGAACAUCCCAUUAAACUAAAGAAUUUCUGAGAGCCACUUUUGCCAGAAGAUCGGCCUCGACAUUAUCCUUCGGGGAAUAUGAAAAAACGCAAUAGAAACAAAUACAGAGGAGAGAGCUUGAAUAUCCAUGGUGAUUCCCAGCAGAUCUUUCCUUUGUGUCUUGUUGGUAAUAGUUCCAAUGAGUGUUGAGUUGUCGGAGUAGACUCAGAGGUGUGAAAUCUCCUGGUUUACUGCCAUAUACAAGCUUUCUCAAACCGCCAGCUACUAGCGCUGAAUCGACGAAAUCAUGUACCAUAGAACCUCGAUUGAGGAUGGGUUCCUUUGAUCCUGAGAAGAUCCAUGCUAAGCCCGCUUUCUUCCUCGCUGCAUCCCAAGCCGCAUCCGUUCUGCAGGUGGUGAAGUACUAAACGGGGCUUCGAUUAUUCUUUCUCCAGGUCGAUCUGCUUGCAGCUUGUUUUCGAAGGUAAAAGAGUUACGAUCUUUCCAUAUUGACCAGCAUAUCCAAGGGAGGAUGGUGUUUGGAACCCCAGAUGGCGGAAGGCAAAUUGUUGAUCUGAAUCUCACCACAGCCGCUUCAAAAGUGUCGUCGGUCGCUAAGUGAACUUCAUCUUUGAGGGGGGCAUUGAGCCACACUUGCAGUGGCUGCCUUGAGGGGAAGCAUUACAAGCACCAGCUUCCAGUCCACAAAAAAUAUUUGCAUAAAUCAGUUUUUUUAAAAAAAAUUAUCUACACAAUUUAUAAAAGUGACCAAUUUUUUUUAAAAUUGUUUGUGGUCUUUUUCAUUUCACGACCGGUACUGCACACUUGUUGCGCAAAAGAGCACCAGAAGAAGGUAUGUAUAGGUGACUAUGUAUCCUGGCAUCUAGGGCAUUUUGCUUCUAGGUCGAUUCCUCUUCUUUGUAGGUUUUCCCCUAGAGCCAAAGUACCUUGAAUGAUCGACCACAUGAAGACUUUCAACUUUGGUGAGCAUUCGCUUGCCCAUAAAUCCUUAAUCCAAUCAAAGGCAGUUGUUGUUCGUGGAGAGACAUCCUCUGGUGUGUGGUUUGCUAGGGAGUUGUAUCCUGAUCUAAAACCAAACAAAAAUGUAACUUGUAUAGAGACAUCCUCUAGUGUUCAAAAGUCUAAAACCAAACAAAAAUGUAACUUGUAUUUGUAUAGUGUAUGUACUAAAUUCAUUCACAAGUUUCACAAAACAUAUGUUUGUACAGUAA